rnacentral:rRNA from 1 species
UUAGAGUUUGAUCCUGGCUCAGGACGAACGCUGGCGGCGUGCUUAACACAUGCAAGUCACGGGGGCUCGCAAGAGCAACCGGCGAACGGGUGCGUAACACGUGAGCAAUUUGCCGAUUUCUGGGGGAUAGCCGGCCCAACGGCCGGGUAAUACCGCAUACGCUGGAGGAGGGGAGUCCCUUUUCCAGGAAACCUCCGGGGGAAAUCGAGGAGCUCGCGGCCUAUCAGCUAGUUGGCGGGGUAAUGGCCCACCAAGGCGACGACGGGUAGCUGGUCUGAGAGGAUGGCCAGCCACAUUGGGACUGAGAGACGGCCCAGACUCCUACGGGAGGCAGCAGUGGGGAAUCUUGCGCAAUGGCCGAAAGGCUGACGCAGCGACGCCGCGUGUGGGAUGACGCCUUUCGGGGUGUAAACCACUGUUGCCCGGGACGAAUUGCCUUUUUCGAGAGGCUUGACGGUACCGGGUGAGGAAGCACCGGCUAACUCCGUGCCAGCAGCCGC